UGUUAUCUAAGCACACCCUUGAGAGAACGAAGCAUUGACCAACUUCAGAUAUUGAGAUUGAGACGGUCGCUGCUUGGCAGACCUAAGUGUUUCUCCGCUUAUUUACUCUGAAUAAGGUCAGAUAGCCCGAAAAAAUUGUGAGUGAAGAUGGUGUAUCCCUUCCUUUUGCCCUCUUUUUUGUGACACGUGGUCCCGUCGUGGUGACGCCAUAUUCCGUGCACGGUUAUAGGCAACAACCAUAACGGCCAAUUGAACUUAAUUGAAAUGAUUGGAGACCCGCAGCUACCCUUAUGCAUGCUUAUUAGCUUCUUGUGGGCGUCUUGUGCACUCGCUAUUUUCACGGGUAUUCCGCGUUACCGAGUCAGCACCGAAGCAACGGCUAAGAAAAAGCAGCAGCGACAACAGCAGUACUGAAGACGCCCUGAACUGAGGUCGCUGACUUUAUUACUUGCAUCUGCGAUCGCCUUUGUUCAAGCUUUGCUUUAAGUAGAAGAUUUGCAAAAGCAAACGGUUGGCGUAACCGAACGGGGCACUCGUAACAGUCGGCGUCGUAACCACCCGGAAAAAACAAACGGGCGGAAGAGGGCAAGACAGUGAGUGGAGCAACAAAGCGUCAUUGGAAUGAGACUUGUGAUUUUCGACAUUUGUGUACCUUUGUGGCACCCUAUAAAAACUAAGCUAACGGGAAAAAAA